rnacentral:misc_RNA from 1 species
GAUGAAGAACGUAGUGAAAUGCGAUACUUGGUGUGAAUUGCAGAAUCCCGUGAACCAUCGAGUCUUUGAACGCAAGUUGCGCCCGAAGCCACUAGGCCGAGGGCACGCCUGCCUGGGCGUCACACGUCGUUGCCCCCCCAUCUACUCCUUCGGGAUUGCGGGGGGCGGAUGAUGGCCUCCCGUGCGCCUCGCCGCGCGGUUGGCAUAAAUGCCAAGUCCUCGGCGACGCACGCCACGACAAUCGGUGGUUGCGAAACCUCGGUUGCCCGUCGUGUGCGGUCGUCGCGCAUCGAGGGCUCGAAAAAAUUGCCGGGUUCCGGCUCGGCUUUCAACGCGACCCCAGGUCAGGCGGGGUUACCCGCUGAAUUUAAGCAUAUCAAUAAGCGGAGGA